AAUAGUAUACUUAGAUUCUACUUAAGGUAUUGUCCCAUUUGCCUUAUUACCUCUCUUUCUAAAUACAGAGAUUUUUUUUCUGAGCCGCGUAAGAGCAAGUUAUGUUUAUCAUGCUCCUUUAUCCCUAAACACUUGUAUUGCUUCAGAACAUGGACAUUCUCUUAUAGAAUCAGUAGUCAUCAACCUCAGCAAGUUUACCAUUUGUAAGUUUAUUUUCUAUGGUCCAACUUUUGUCAACUGUCUUAGCACUGUCCUUGGCAGCUUUUCCCUCUACUACCAAAUCCAGACCAGAAUCCCCUAUUGCACUUAGUUGCCAUGUCUCCUUACAUAGUAUCUGACAUGCUGUUUACAAAAUGAACAUUGCUCAAAAUAGAUUAUAAAAAUUAUACAUAUACUACAAAAAUGCAGUUGAUGUAAAUUCUAUUCCAGCAUUUUGUCCUUUCCUUUUCACAAAAGUUGUUAGUAAUGAUGUUUUUACAGUUUCAAAGAAUUUAUCAAAGCACUCUUUAAAUCUCAAAGGAAAUAUUCAAGAACAAGGAAAACUUAACCGCAAUUAAAAAUGAAGGCAAUGGAUAUCAGUUCCAACCAAACGGUUGGGCCGUAUUUUAUGUGUAUUGGGCACUACUUUGGAACUUAACAAGGCAGGUAAAGGAGGACACGCUGUACUUAACUCUUGGGGGUUAGGGGUAUUGCAGGGGAGGAUAAAGAGGAAUUUUUGCUUUUUUACUCCAUGAAUUUCUGUACUGUUUUAAUUUCUGACAGUGAGCAAGCACAGUUCUUACUUAAUAAUGAAGAUAAAUUAAAAAGACAAAGAAAACUGGAUGACGGGCUGGAUGUUUAAUGUGCGGGGUUAAACUGAAUAUGGAAGUUCAUCUGUUCUGCUUUGUUUCCUUCGUCUCAAGAUAAGAUAGUGGUAUCUCCCCCUAACUAAAUCAAGAAGACGUCGGAAAGGUUAAGCAGUGCCUAUUUUAGGGAGAAAGAGCCAGCAGAAUGUUCCCCAGAGAUCAGAAAAAGCUCUCCUGUGAACUGCUGGCAGUGCCAAGGUUAACGGUCUGCCUCGAGAACCAGAAAUUCACGCAGAACCUUCCUGAAUUUUAAGAGCAUUCUUUCAGCAGCGGGCAACAGAGGAGCCAAUGAAAGCGAGGGGCGGUCUAGGAGUAGAGGGAGAGAGGACGCAGGGCUUUGGGGCGCGUGUGGACCAAGGAGGGCGACCCGGGCUGACAGCCGCACAGCAGGGACGCCCGGGCCCCGCGCACACCGCGGCUGCGGAGCGGCGGUCGGGGGAGAGUGUCCCGAGCCGCAGGACUGGUGGCUGCCGUGCAGACCGGCGAGCUGGCUAACCGACGAGCGCAGGAGCGGGAGAGCGCGGCUCUGGAGGCAAGAAGAUUAAUCAUGAUGCUUGUCCCAUAUGACCUUCAGCAUUUUUGAAGAGGAGAAGACAAUUACUUUGCAGAAUGUCCAUCAGUUUGGGUUGAAACCAGAAAACUCCCAUUUCCAGAUUCCUUGCAGCAUGUGACCUGGGCUUCACUAAUCAGCUCUAUCCACGUGUGACUGCAGGCGUCAGAUGGAUUAUCUGCAAAGGCACUGAUAAUGGCUAUGAGGAAUAAAUACUGCAGAUGGAGCAAAUCAAAGAGUCAAAUUACAAAGCCAAACCGAAGAAGAGUCAUGAAAAGGAGGGAGAAUCAGAAAGGAAGGAAAAGGACAAUUACCGAAGGAAAAUGAGCAGUUGAUUAUGAAAAAGAAUAUCUUCUGCUGUUUGAAUAAAGACCAAAGAGCUUUCAUUGGUGGCUCCACACAUGGCUGUGACUGAGCACAAGUCCCAAACUCAAGAAAGUAAAAGGAACUUAGACUUUAACUAUUAGUAGUAAUGAGAAUGUACUAAAUAUCAACAACUAAUUUACCAGGCAAUGUCAUUUCCCAAGCAUGUUCACAUAUAUCAUAGGUAAAAUGUUUUCAUGAACACUGUUUCCAACAUGUUUGCAGAAGCUAUUUUCAUGGCCUAGGUAACAAAUGGUUCACUGAAAUUGCUGGUGUGCUGAUCUGGUUUUGAAGAAUUCUAUGAUAAGGAAAAAUUCUGUGGAACAGAUGGAAUGAGAAGGCCCUAGACACAGAACAGGCAUAUCUGGUAAUGACAGUGUUCUUUUGAUAUAGUAUUAUGUUUUAUGUUUUACAAGUAUUAGUAUGCAAGGAACUCAGGCAGGAGCAGGAAAGAGAAAGUGAGUAGGAAUAAUACUUCAUAUUUGAAGAGGCUUUAUACGUGCCCAAGUACUCAGACCUCACCUAGCAGCAAGUAUUAUCCAAAUUCUACUGAUGAAAAACAUGCUUCUAAGAAAGAUGUGUUACAAAUGACAGAAAAUCAAUCUCAAAGUGGCUUAAGCAAUGAAAGGUAUGUGUCUUUCUGUGUGUGCUGUGUGCGUGUGUACAUGUGUGUGCAUGUUUUGGCUCACAGAAUUGAAAGGUCCAAAAUUGGAGCUAGCUUUCAGUGUGGCUUGAAAGAGAUGUUCAACUGAUCCCAUCAGUGCCAAAUUUCUCUUAAUACCACCUAGUAUUUUUCCUAAUAUAUAGUUUUCUUCUAAGACAAAAUUUUCCCAGGUGGUGCAAGAUGGUUGUUAAUAGCUCUCAGCUUACCUCCUCAACUCCCAAACAGUGGAGAAAAGGAGAACACCUCUUUCUCUGCUGUCCCAGCAGAAGUCUAGAAAUUGAGUCUCAUUGGCUCUUAUUGUGUCAUGUGUUCAUCCCUGAACUAAUCACUGUGUCCAGAAGGAUGUGGUCGUGUAAUUAAUCAGGCUGGACACAACUCCCACACUUGGGAGAGGGGGCAGGGAUGGUCCCCCACCGGUGAAGAGCUAUAUCAUCCACCCCCAGUUUUACUGAGAUGUAAUUGAUAUUGUGUAAAUAGAAAUUACCUAGGUUCCUAUCUCUAGUGCAGUCUGUCAAACAGCUCCAGGGAGAAAUCAUUUUCAUUAUUUUCUAUGUGAAUGGUGCCCCCUUAAGAGUUAUACAGCUUGGAGGGCAGGCUGAUCGAAUUAAUCUAAUAUUGACAUGAUUUUUUUUUUUUUGCAACUGGAUUCUAAAGUUUUUGAGAGUAAGGUUUAUAUUUUGAUAGUUGGUGUGUUCUUAUGUGCAGUGUUUAGUUGCUGAUCUUCCUUUAAUCAAAAUUCAGGAAAUACUUAAUCGAGUUAUUGAAAUAGCUUUCCUGGUGAGAUUAUUAAAUUUAGUUGUAUGCUGUUGUGGGAGCAGCUGCAUACUAAUUUCUUAUCCAUCAUGGUGAGGAAGUGGAGGGGAGGAUGAAAAAUCCAUUAUUAUAAAGAUUUCCAGGUGAUUCUCUUCAGACCACUUAAAAAAUAUUGCCUGAAAAUUUCAGCAUAUGAAUAUCAGGUAGCAGAUUGACUGACAUAAACUCUUCAGUGCACUACAAAGAGCCAAGAAAGUGAUGUUAAAGUUAGGGCCUAUUAGAAAUCUCUGUAGAAGAGAGUACACACAUUUAUUUAACCUCAAAAAGAACAAAAUCAGUAAAAACUAGAAAGGAAGAGAAAGACUGGUUAAGUCACGGGGUUUCAGUUACCUAUUGCAGCAAAACAAAUUGCUCCAAGACUGAGUAGCUUAAAACAUUGUGUGGGUCACCUGAGUAAGCGAUGUGGUUUUUCAGUCCAUGCGGUGUAAGAGCGGUCACUCAUGCAGCGGCCUUCAGCUGGGAGCUUGGCUGGGGCAAGAGCAUCUCAGGCGGCCUUUUAUCGCUGAAAGCCUCUCUCCUUGCACUGUCUCAGCCUCCCGUAGUGCAGCCCUAAUUUCUUUAGAGCACUAUGGCUACCUUCCAAGAAGAGGGAGCAGAGGCUGCCAGUUCCCUUAACUGGCUUGGAAGUCACAGGACAUCACUCCUGCUACAUCUAUUGGACAAGUAACAGGGCCUGCCUAGAUGCUAGGGAGAGGAGGAAAGGAAAUAGACUCCAUCUCUCUUUUUUUUUUUUCAGUGAACAAAUGAACAAUCAGUAUUUUUAUUAAUUAGUUAAUUUAUUAUUAUUAGUUUUUAAAAAUUUUUACUAAGGUAUUAUUGAUAUACACUCUUAUGAAAUGUAUAUCAAGAUUUAAUAGCUCUCAGCUUACCUCCUCAACUCCCAGUCAGUGGAGAAAAGGAGAACACCUCUUUCUUUGCUGUCCCGGCAGAAGUCUAGAGAUUGAGUCUCAUUGACUUUUAUUGUGUCACGUGUUCAUCCCUGAACCAAUCACUGUGUCCAGAAGGAUGCAGUCGUGUGAUUUUUCACAUGAAAAAACAAUGUGGUUACUACAUUUACCCAUAUUAUCAAGUCCCCACCAUACCCCAAUGCAGUCACUGUCCAUCAGUGUAGUAAGAUG